rnacentral:rRNA from 1 species
CUCCGUGCCAGCAGCCGCGGUAAUACGGAGGGUCCAAGCGUUAUCCGGAAUCAUUGGGUUUAAAGGGUUCGCAGGCGGUUAAUUAAGUCAGUGGUGAAAUCCCGGGGCUCAACUCCGGAACUGCCAUUGAUACUGAUUGACUUGAGUUAAGUUGGAGUAGGCGGAAUGUGUAGUGUAGCGGUGAAAUGCUUAGAUAUUACACAGAACACCGAUAGCGAAGGCAGCUUACUAAACUUAUACUGACGCUCAUGAACGAAAGCGUGGGGAGCGAACAGGAUUAGAUACCCUGGUAG